CCUUCACUGCGUCCUUAAGGCAGUUCAUCCGCGGGGCACUUUGCCAUUGUUUCAAUACAUCCAGAUAAAAAACCGUCAACGGAAUGCUCUUCCAAUUCACUGUUGCUGUCUCCUGCCCUGCCUCUGUGCGCUGCUGCAAACUCUCAGGAAAUGCCUGGCAUGGGGACCUGUAAUGACUUAAUUACGGUGGGACGCUGAGGCUCUCCUGCUAUUGCUUCCUGCACAAUUUUAACACUGAGAGAAACAAAUUAGAUUGGCAUCCUAAAGGCUGGACUUGCAGCCUGAUAUCCAUGGAGCUGCACUAUCUCAUCCUAGAUCGAUUUCAGCUCUUAAAAAGCAACGGUGUUGCCGGGCGUGGUGGCGCAUGCCUUUAAUCCCAGCACUCAGGAGGCAGAGGCAGGC